AAAAAGGGUAUUCACCACUUCGAUGGUGCGUGCGCCUCUCGGGGCGCGCGGGGUAUGGCUAUCAAGACAUACCCAAUACGUAAUUUUUAUAUUUACGAGGCUGUUGGCUACCCCUUAUGUACCGGCGCCUCU